UUGAACGCUGGCGGCAUGCUUUACACAUGCCAGUCGAACGGCAGCGCGGGCUUCGGCCUGGCGGCGAGUGGCGAACGGGUGAGUAAUACAUCGGAACGUGCCCAGUAGUGGGGGAUAGCUCGGCGAAAGCCGGAUUAAUACCGCAUACGACCUGAGGGUGAAAGCGGGGGAUCUUCGGACCUCGCGCUAUUGGAGCGGCCGAUGGCAGAUUAGCUAGUUGGUGGGGUAAAGGCCUACCAAGGCGACGAUCUGUAGCUGGUCUGAGAGGACGACCAGCCACACUGGGACUGAGACACGGCCCAGACUCCUACGGGAGGCAGCAGUGGGGAAUUUUGGACAAUGGGCGAAAGCCUGAUCCAGCAAUGCCGCAUGUGUGAUGAAGGCCUUCGGGUUGUAAAGCACUUUUGGCGGGAACGAAAAGGACUGUGCCAAUACCACGGUUCGAUGACGGUACCCGCAGAAUAAGCACCGGCUAACUACGUG
rnacentral:rRNA from 1 species